CUUCUCUCUCCCCGUUCAUUGGCAGGGAAAGAUAAAAGGACGCGCGGGGGGGGGGAGGGGGAGGCAUGUAGGGUGUGUGGGGGGGGGGCUCGAUCGGCUCCCAGCUUCCCCUCCGGGUGCACAACGCACUGCCCUUUCACCCACCCACCCACAGAGAGAGAGAGAGAGAGAGAGAGAGAGAGAGAGAGAGAGAGAGAUUUCCAAAUUUCUCUCUCCUCCAAAUCUCAGGCUUGGAGGCCGUUUCUGUCUGCUCGAUCUAUUCCAAGCAACGUCUCUCCCCCACCCCCCACCAUACCCACGCACUCCUCUCUCCUCUUGCUUUAUUCGAGGAGGUUGCAGAAGCGGGGAAGCAGGGGCUGGAGGAGCAAGCACAAGCACGCGUUACUACCGGCUUGCUUUGACAAGAAGCCGCCGGCCUGCACACAUUUCCCGAGCUCUCGGGACCGUCUGAAUAAACCAGGGGCUGUGCCCGGCUUUGCGCUUCCUUGGGAGUAAAUUCCGCCGGACAAAAGAGGGCUGUGAACUCGCCUCGCGCCCCUGCAAGUUCAAACUCCCCAAGGUUUGGUGGAUUCAGUGCUGCGCGUUGGAGCCGCUGCCCUAAUGGCAGGCAAACUUCCGCCCCGCUCGGAGUGACCUGCCAGACGAAGCCCCUUGGAGACUCGUAUUCUGAAUGGAGGCCGCAGUAAUCUAGGAUCAAAAGCAGGAAGAGCCUAUCAAAGCAAUGCAAAACACACCACAGUCUCCAAGGAAACUAUCUGGUGGAUCACAAUACAGGAUUCCAGAGAUGGUCCCUCCUUUUUCACCUGGCUCAGGGCCCUGUCUUUCCUUUCUUCUCACCCGCCCUUCAUGUUGCUGAUCCUGUUGGUCACUUGGAUUUAAAAAAAAAACACUUUUCAAGAGAGCAACCUUCCAUCAAGUAGAAAUCUUCAUUUGCUUUUGCCAAGGAGAAUGUAAAGCAACUGCGAAACAAGUCCAAACAGUUUUGAUCAAAGAUGAGUAUGACAGCAAAAUACUAGAGUUUAGAGAGUCCCGUUGUUCCCAGAUGUAGAAAUCACUGCCAUCCAAUGAUGUUGGCUAGGAUGAGCAUGUUUCUAUUGCCAAACAAGGCAUGGUUUUUCUACAUGGACAUAAACAAGUAUCUCACGAGAUAAAUCUCAGCGCUAUGGGAUGACUGGUACCAGCUCAGAUUCUGUCUUCUACACAAGGACUACAAUUUCAGGAAACCAUUAUAUAUAAUUGCUCUAGACUGAAAGGGGCAAGAGCAAUUCAGCAUCAUCAGAGAGAAGCACAACUGCAGAUGGAAAACUCUUUCUUUGCUCCCAGAACUGGACCACCUCCCUCUGAUGCUGCACUUCUUUCACGAGUUGAGACCAGCUACUAGAGGAGCACAGCGGAAGAAAUACAUUUGUGAGAAACAGGAUACAAAACAUGAAACACAGUGCAAUCUUAGAGAAAGACACUCCACUGAAAUGAAUGGACUUAGGUCAGUGGUGGGAUUCAGCAGGUUCACACCUCUUUGGCAGAACCGGUUGUUAAAAUGGUAAACAAUGCAGUCCAAUUUCACUGCACUUUGCAGCUGUGCAGAAUAGCAAAAUCCACUUGCAAACAAUUGUGGCAGUGGACUGAAAAUGCAUUCUUCUGCAUGUGCGGAAGGGGGCUUAGACUGGAGUAACUCUCUUUAGAAUUGCUGGAUAAAUAUGCAGCUCUUUGUAGGAUGCUGGGAAGUAUACAAAUGGGGAGUCAAAGUAGCAUCUGCACAACCUGGUCACACCACAAAAUCUCUCCCAUUUGGAAUUCAGUGAAAUCUGCCCCCCCCCCCCCGCUCCGCCCUGCCCCUUUGGCAAAAUUCUGGGUAAGAAUCUUUGAA